UUGACCCGUCGAUGUCCGAAUGGGGAAACCCAGUGUGAUUCGUCACACUAUCGUUAACUGAAUACAUAGGUUAACGAGGCGAACCGGGGGAACUGAAACAUCUAAGUACCCCGAGGAAAAGAAAUCAACCGAGAUUCCCCCAGUAGCGGCGAGCGAACGGGGAGCAGCCCGGAGUCUGAAUCAGCUUGUGUGUUAGUGGAAGCGUCUGGAAAGUCGCACGGUACAGGGUGACAGUCCCGUACACGAAAAUGCACAGGUUGUGAACUCGAAGAGUAGGGCGGGACACGUGGUAUCCUGUCUGAAUAUGGGGGGACCAUCCUCCAAGGCUAAAUACUCCUGACUGACCGAUAGUGAACCAGUACCGUGAGGGAAAGGCGAAAAGAACCCCGGCGAGGGGAGUGAAAAAGAACCUGAAACCGUGUACGUACAAGCAGUGGGAGCACCUUCGGGUGUGACUGCGUACCUUUUGUAUAAUGGGUCAGCGACUUAUAUUCUGUAGCAAGGUUAACCGUAUAGGGGAGCCGCAGGGAAACCGAGUCUUAACUGGGCGUUAAGUUGCAGGGUAUAGACCCGAAACCCGGUGAUCUAGCCAUGGGCAGGUUGAAGGUUGGGUAACACUAACUGGAGGACCGAACCGACUAAUGUUGAAAAAUUAGCGGAUGACCUGUGGCUGGGGGUGAAAGGCCAAUCAAACCGGGAGAUAGCUGGUUCUCCCCGAAAGCUAUUUAGGUAGCGCCUCGUGAACUCAUCUUCGGGGGUAGAGCACUGUUUCGGCUAGGGGGCCAUCCCGGCUUACCAACCCGAUGCAAACUACGAAUACCGAAGAAUGUUAUCACGGGAGACACACGGCGGGUGCUAACGUCCGUCGUGAAGAGGGAAACAACCCAGACCGCCAGCUAAGGUCCCAAAGUCAUGGUUAAGUGGGAAACGAUGUGGGAAGGCACAGACAGCCAGGAUGUUGGCUUAGAAGCAGCCAUCAUUUAAAGAAAGCGUAAUAGCUCACUGGUCGAGUCGGCCUGCGCGGAAGAUGUAACGGGGCUAAACCAUGCACCGAAGCUGCGGCAGCGACGCUUAUGCGUUGUUGGGUAGGGGAGCGUUCUGUAAGCCGUUGAAGGUGUGCUGUGAGGCAUGCUGGAGGUAUCAGAAGUGCGAAUGCUGACAUAAGUAACGAUAAAGCGGGUGAAAAGCCCGCUCGCCGGAAGACCAAGGGUUCCUGUCCAACGUUAAUCGGGGCAGGGUGAGUCGACCCCUAAGGCGAGGCCGAAAGGCGUAGUCGAUGGGAAACAGGUUAAUAUUCCUGUACUUGGUGUUACUGCGAAGGGGGGACGGAGAAGGCUAUGUCAGCCGGGCGACGGUUGUCCCGGUUUAAGCGUGUAGGUGUGUGUUCCAGGCAAAUCCGGUUCACUUUAACACUGAGGCGUGAUGACGAGGCACUACGGUGCUGAAGUGAUAAAUGCCCUGCUUCCAGGAAAAGCCUCUAAGCAUCAGGUAACACGAAAUCGUACCCCAAACCGACACAGGUGGUCAGGUAGAGAAUACCAAGGCGCUUGAGAGAACUCGGGUGAAGGAACUAGGCAAAAUGGUGCCGUAACUUCGGGAGAAGGCACGCUGAUAUGUAGGUGAAGUCCCUGCGGACGGAGCUGAAAUCAGUCGAAGAUACCAGCUGGCUGCAACUGUUUAUUAAAAACACAGCACUGUGCAAACACGAAAGUGGACGUAUACGGUGUGACGCCUGCCCGGUGCCGGAAGGUUAAUUGAUGGGGUUAGCGGCAACGCGAAGCUCUUGAUCGAAGCCCCGGUAAACGGCGGCCGUAACUAUAACGGUCCUAAGGUAGCGAAAUUCCUUGUCGGGUAAGUUCCGACCUGCACGAAUGGCGUAAUGAUGGCCAGGCUGUCUCCACCCGAGACUCAGUGAAAUUGAACUCGCUGUGAAGAUGCAGUGUACCCGCGGCAAGACGGAAAGACCCCGUGAACCUUUACUAUAGCUUGACACUGAACACUGGUCCUUGAUGUGUAGGAUAGGUGGGAGGCUUUGAAGCGUGGACGCCAGUCUGCGUGGAGCCGUCCUUGAAAUACCACCCUUUAAUGGCUGGUGUUCUAACGUGGACCCGUGAUCCGGGUUGCGGACAGUGUCUGGUGGGUAGUUUGACUGGGGCGGUCUCCUCCCAAAGAGUAACGGAGGAGCACGAAGGUUAGCUAAUCCUGGUCGGACAUCAGGAGGUUAGUGCAAUGGCAUAAGCUAGCUUGACUGCGAGAGUGACGGCUCGAGCAGGUGCGAAAGCAGGUCAUAGUGAUCCGGUGGUUCUGAAUGGAAGGGCCAUCGCUCAACGGAUAAAAGGUACUCCGGGGAUAACAGGCUGAUACCGCCCAAGAGUUCAUAUCGACGGCGGUGUUUGGCACCUCGAUGUCGGCUCAUCACAUCCUGGGGCUGAAGUAGGUCCCAAGGGUAUGGCUGUUCGCCAUUUAAAGUGGUACGCGAGCUGGGUUUAGAACGUCGUGAGACAGUUCGGUCCCUAUCUGCCGUGGGCGCUGGAGAAUUGAGGGGGGCUGCUCCUAGUACGAGAGGACCGGAGUGGACGCAUCACUGGUGUUCGGGUUGUCAUGCCAAUGGCACUGCCCGGUAGCUAAAUGCGGAAGAGAUAAGUGCUGAAAGCAUCUAAGCACGAAACUUGCCCCGAGAUGAGUUCUCCCUGAGACUUUAAGUCUCCUGAAGGAACGUUGAAGACGACGACGUUGAUAGGCCGGGUGUGUAAGCGCAGCGAUGCGUUGAGCUAACCGGUACUAAUGAACCGUGAGGCUUAACCUU
rnacentral:rRNA from 1 species